rnacentral:rRNA from 1 species
AUUGACCUACCGACCCGUCUUGUAACACGGAACAAGGAGUCUAACAAAUACGCGAUUAUGUUGGUGUUCUUUGAAACCAGACAUGAGCAAUGAAAGUAAGCGGUGCCAAUCGCAAGAUGCAGCAUCGGCCGAUUGUGAUCCUCUGGAGAAAUGUAUCGGCUACGAGCGUAUCUGUUAGGACCCGAAAGAUGGUGAACUACGCUUGGGUAGGGUGAAGCUAGGGGAAACUCUUGUGGAAGCCCGAAACGGUUCUGACGUGCAAAUCGAUCGUCAAACUUGAGUGUAGGGGCGAAAGACUAAUCGAACCAUCUAGCAGCUGG